AUUGUUCUCAGCAGAAGAUUACUUACUUCCAUCUUCUCAGUUCAGAGGAACAAGUCAGCGUCAUUUGCAAGGUAACCACAACAGUUCUUUCACAGCGGCCUGUCCUGUAGCAUCCCAAUGAACAACUACUGUACGACCCGUAUGGGAAUUUUUUUCAUGAGCAGAUCAACAAUGCCAAGGUUACCUCACGAAGAUCCGGGUGCCUCAAGCGUCGCUACCUUCUUGGGAGGGAAAUGAAAUAGACAACUAUGUCGUGACUGUACCACGCAUCGCGAACUCAGGAACGUCACAAAUCAGGAGCAGCAGAUGGAAGCAACAAAGAGGACAUUUAAACUGUGUGUACUCAGAUACAGAGCUUUGUUUCGGUUACUUAGUUGAAAACUGCACUGAUCGCUCAUGAGACAAGCAUAUGUUGCCUUGCGCGUUAGAAAAAUCU